rnacentral:lncRNA from 1 species
GUGGUUUUCUCAUUGAGUCAAAGAUUAUCAACUGGUUCUUGGGAAUUUCAAUGACCAUGAGUAUCCAUUGAAAGCUGUUUACACACACAUAUAUAUAGUCAGGCCUAUAAUGUAAAAUAAAAUAUGCAUGCACUUAAUAACUAUAUAACUCACUCGAAGCUGAAGGGGAAGAGUAUUUUUUGUUUUUCUUUUUGGUUCACAAAGAACCUCAUAAGAUUGGUGCAGACUUCUGUCUCAUGAGCUGCUGUCCACACUGCCUGUAGAGCCUUGAAAACAAUAUAACGGUCAACGAACCCAAUACUAUUGUCAUUUCUCAUUCUGAGCUCUCUCAUUUGGUGCCUGCAUAUAUACAUACAAA